rnacentral:rRNA from 1 species
GGUUCGAUCCUGGCUCAGAUUGAACGCUGGCGGGAUGCUUUACACAUGCAAGUCGAACGGCAGCACGGACUUCGGUCUGGUGGCGAGUGGCGAACAGGUGAGAGUAAUGUAUCGGGACGUGCCUAGUAGCGGGGAUAACUACGCGAAAGCGUAGCUAAUACCGCAUACGCCCUUCGGGGGAAAGCGGGGGACGGGCUCGCACUAUUAGAGCGGCCGAUAUCGGAUUAGCUAGUUGGUGGGGUAACGGCUCGCAAGGCGACGAUCCGUAGCUGGUUUGAGAGGACGACCAGCCACACUGGGACUGAGACACGGCCCAGACUCCUACGGGAGGCAGCAGUGGGGGAAUUUUGGACAAUGGGGGAAACCCUGAUCCAGCCAUCCCGCGUGUGCGAUGAAGGCCUUCAGGUUGUAAACACUUUUGGCAGGAAAGAAACGGCACGGGAUAAUACCCCGUGCAACUGACGGUACCUGCAGAAUAAGCACCGGCUAACUACGUGCCAGCAGCCGCGGUAAUACGUAGGGUGCAAGCGUUAAUCAGGUAUUACUGGGCGUAAAGCGUGCGCAGGCGGUUCGGAAAGAAGAUGUGAAAUCCCAGAGCUUAACUUUGGAACUGCAUUUUUAACUACCGAGCUAGAGUGUCAGAGGGAGGUGGAAUUCCGCUGUGUAGCAGUGAAAUGCGUAGAUAUGCCGGAGGAACACCGAUGGCGAAGGCAGCCUCCUGGGAUAACACUGACGCUCAUGCACAGCGUGGGGAGCAAACAGGAUUAGAUACCCUGGUAGUCCACGCCCUAAACGAUGUCAACUAGCUGUUGGGGCCUUCGGGCCUUGGUAGCGCAACUAACGCGUGAAGUUGACCGCCUGGGAAGUACGGUCGCAGAUUAAAACUCAAAGGAAUUGACGGGGACCCGCACAAGCGGUGGAUGAUGUGGAUUAAUUCGAUGCAACGCAGAAAAACCUUACCUACCCUUGACAUGUCUGGAAUCCCGAAGAGAUUUGGGAGUGCUCGCAAGAGAACCGGAACACAGGUGCUGCAUGGCUGUCGUCAGCUCAUGUCGUGAGAUGUUGGGUUAAGUCCCGCAACGAGCGCAACCCUUGUCAUUAGUUGCUACGAAAGGGCACUCUAAUGAGACUGCCGGUGACAAACCGGAGGAAGGUGGGGAUGACGUCAAGUCCUCAUGGCCCCCUUAUGGGUAGGGCUUCACACGUCAUACAAUGGUCGGGACAGAGGGUCGCCAACCCGCGAGGGGAGCCAAUCCCAGAAACCCGAUCGUAGUCCGGAUCGCAGUCUGCAACUCGACUGCGUGAAGUCGGAAUCGCUAGUAAUCGCGGAUCAGCAUGUCGCGGUGAAUACGUUCCCGGGUCUUGUACACACCGCCCGUCACACCAUGGGAGUGGGUUUUACCAGAAGUAGUUAGCCUAACCGUAAGGAGGCGAUUACCACGGUAGGAUUCAUGACUGGGGUGAAGUCGUAACAAGGUAA